rnacentral:rRNA from 1 species
CGCGGCCUAUCAGCUUGUUGGUGGGGUAAAGGCCUACCAAGGCGACGACGGGUAGCCGGCCUGAGAGGGCGACCGGUCACACUGGGACUGAGACACGGCCCAGACUCCUACGGGAGGCAGCAGUAGGGAAUAUUGCGCAAUGGACGAAAGUCUGACGCAGCAACGCCGCGUGAGGGAUGAAGUACAUCGAGAUGUAAACCUCUUUCAGCAGGGACGAAGCUAACGUGACGGUACCUGCAGAAGAAGCACCGGCUAACUACGUGCCAGCAGCCGCGGUAAUACGUAGGGUGCAAGCGUUGUCCGGAUUUAUUGGGCGUAAAGGGCUCGUAGGCGGUCUGUCGCGUCGGAUGUGAAAACUCGGAGCUUAACUCCGGGCCUGCAUUCGAUACGGGCAGACUAGAGUUCGGUAGGGGAGACUGGAAUUUCUGGUGUAGCGGUGGAAUGCGCAGAUAUCAGGAAGAACACCGAUGGCGAAGGCAGGUCUCUGGGCCGACACUGACGCUGAGGAGCGAAAGCAUGGGGAGCGAACAGGAUUAGAUACCCUGGUAGUCCAUGCCGUAAACGGUGGGCGCUAGGUGUGAGGGUCUUUCUACGACUUUCGUGCCGUAGCUAACGCAUUAAGCGCCCCGCCUGGGGAGUACGG